GACGAACGCUGGCGGCGUGCUUAACACAUGCAAGUCGAACGGAAAGGCCUUGCUUUUGUGGGGUGCUCGAGUGGCGAACGGGUGCGUAACACGUGAGUAACCUGCCCUUUACUUUUGGAUAACUUCAGGAAACUUGGGCUAAUACCGGAUAGGAGCUCCUGCUGCAUGGUGGGGGUUGGAAAGUUUCGGCGGUUGGGGAUGGACUCGCGGCUUAUCAGCUUGUUGGUGGGGUAGUGGCUUACCAAGGCUUUGACGGGUAGCCGGCCUGAGAGGGUGACCGGCCACAUUGGGAGUGAGAUACGGCCCAGACUCUUAAGGGAGGCAGCAGUGGGGAAAAUUGCACAAAGGGCGGAAGCCAGAAGCAGCAAAGCCGCGUGCGGGAUGACGGCCUUCGGGUUGUAAACCGCUUUCGCCUGUGACGAAGCGUGAGUGACGGUAAUGGGUAAAGAAGCACCGGCUAACUACGU
rnacentral:rRNA from 1 species